CUUCAGAUGGUUCAGAUGGCAAGUUCAAAACAUUGAGGAACUUCUUCUGCAAGGUCCUGAGUAAAAGGCAAGGUUCAGUCUCCAGCCUGGCUACACAUGGCCCUGCUUCCAGCUGACUAGGCUGUGGAGAACUGCAAAAGCAAGAGAAACUUCCUCUCACCUUCCAAGGCUCCAGAGAGCUCAGAGCUUCAUAGAUGAGAUGUUGCUAGGAUGUCUGAGGGAAAAUCUGAGUCAUCGUAAGAGGGAAGAGAUGAAUAAUGUCCACCUUGAACUCUAGACACAGAUGAGAGCUUUCCAACCUGAUGUUGAGUGAAAAAGUCUGUUCCCUUCCUAGAAAAGAAAAAUGAGAGUUUGGGAGAAAAAGUGAAGAAGGAGGAGACAAAAGCUGUCCCCAAGCCGUCUAACUUCUUACUGAACAGUUAUAUCUUCCGGCAUCUUUCAGAGCAACUGGAGUUGCAGUGUCAGAACAUUGCACUAGUAAAUCCUCAGCUUGAUCCAGCAUAGCAUCCCUCUUGCAUUAGAAGCAUGCUGCAGGGCAGGCAGAUUCAUAUGGAUGUUGGUAAUGGUUAGCAACAUUUUGCUCUGUACAUACUUUGCUGCAGGGUCUUGAAUGAGAGCCACA
ensembl:lncRNA